GACUCAUUUACUUGUGGCAGUCUAAGGGUCUGUUGAGUCUCUCUCUCCCCUAAGUAAAGUCUGAGCUCCUUGAGCUCAGAGCUUCAUCCGGGUCAUCUCUGUGCCUCCAUUGCCUUAGACUGGGAACUGAACACCUAUUCAGUGGAUACGGAAUUUCAAAACGUUUCAACAAAAGACUGCAUUAAAAAAAAUCAGCAAGAAUUUCUUUGGCUCUGCAGAAAGCACAAAGAGUGUGGGCAGGCACCAGAGUCUGUCAUAUUUUGCAGAUAAGAAACCGAGACUUGGGGAGAACUGCUUUGCACAGAGUUGCACAGCUGGAACAUACCACGUACACGGUGGUGUCUUGGUCGCAAUGCUGAUGACUCCGCCGCACAGCCCUGGCCCCCAGCCUCAUGGGAGGAUCAGAAGCACAGAGAGACGCCCACGUAGGGAGAUUGGACCGUCGUCCUAAGCCAAGCGCGGGGCGUCCUGGGGAAGGCCCCAGGCCCGGCGGGAGAAGGGAGCGGUGGGCGGGGCCGGUGAAAGGCUGCCUCAGGAAGGUAGGGGAGGGGGACUGGGACCAGAUGGGGGAGGGGAGGCAAAUUUCGAAGCUUCAGGGAUCCUCGUUUCCUAGGACUGGACGUCAUUGUCCCAUUUAUCCUUUUGUACAUAAUUUGGAGAUGCACCCCAAAUCAUGUAAGCUGCAGGGCUCCACCAAGCCUGGCUCUGCCGCUGGACGGACGAGGAUGCCUGCCGGAGGAUGCGGAGCAGGCAGAGCCGCCAGGAGGGCAGUGUGGCCGGAGCCCUGGGCAGGAGCCCUGGGCAGGACCCCCUGGGAGCCUGCAGGGAGCAGCAGAGGAUCAAACGGCAGAGGCAGAGGUGCCGGCCGGCACGGAGGAGAUGAGGGCAGUGGGCCCCACUGGAAAGUUUCCAGCAGAGGAGGGGCUAGGCCCCUGCGAGUGAGACAGGUCUCCACAGAACAGGAGCUCUCCCAGGGGAGCCCUGGCCUUUCUCGGCCAAACAGUCCUCGCCUCUGAUUCCAGGCUCUGCAGGGACCCUGCUGGGCUCCAGUUUGCAGAGGAGGCACCAUGCUGGCGGUAUAGGGCUCCUGGAUGGCUGAUCUUGGGGCUGUGGGUAGAGAGUGGAGGGGCCUAAUGGGGGGCAUAGACAGUGUUGUCACCCGAGGCCUCCCCUAUUCCACCCUCUCAUUUUCCGCAGUUACAAACCUGAGCUAUGCACCAGGCAGCUAACCCAGGACCAGGUCAGGCUGGGCCUCCUGGGCCAGAUGUGCUGGGCAGGUGUGGGUGCUGCGAGGGGGCUGGUCCUGUGGGCAGUUGUGAGACCUAGAGGCUGGAAGUAUAGGGGUGCCCUGAGAAGAGGACUGGCCAGUGAGGGGGACCCAGUCUCAGGGUGACAGUGCCUGCGGCAGAGACAGUGCCUGGGGUAGGAGAGAACAGGAAGACGGCCAGGACCCAGAUGCCAGGGCCGAGGAGCCCAUCGCUCAUAAUAUUGUAAUUGUUGGCCCUUGGUAGCCCGGGAGUGAGCCAGGUGGCUUAGGAGUCUAGGGCCAAGGCAGAAAUCCAAUGGGAGAGGCUAUCCUCAGGGCCAGGGAGCUUUACCAUGAAGAGGAAGACUGGUCUAUCUCUGACAAUCUGGUCUCUGGGACACAAGCCAGACCUCUUGUUCUCUCAAGAACAGGAUUCCCACCCUGUCUGCAGUCCCCAGGAGGCAGCAGGAGCCCCCAAAGGCGAGGAGGAAGCACUUCUCUGGCCCAGCCUGGUAAUUAGGCCCUUCAAUUGCAAUUAUUUUUGCAAUUACUUUUGCAAUUAGCUCAGCUGGUAAUUGGAGCUGGAGGUGGUAAUUUCUGCCCUUCAUGGAAGCUCCCUCUGAACUGGGCUCUGCUCAUCUGUCCAGGAUGCAGGGCUGUGAUCCAGGAGCACCGGCUCUCAGUGGGAGCUCUGAGUGCAGAGCCCUGGGCCUGGCAGGUGAUGCAUUUGGAUUCUGCUAGAACCCCCGAGGGGGGACAUUUUAAGUAUGGCAAGGAGGUGCUUUGCGAGUCUCACAGGAAAGAGCAGGGCUGCUCUUAAGAUUUGUGGAGCUUAAGAGGACACAUCCCAUAUAUCUAAAUACUUACAAGUCAAAAAUCAAGCAAGCGGUGGCAGGCAGCCCCUAAGACGGCCCUAGCAAUUUCUACCUCCCGAUGUUCCUGCCCUUGAGGGUAGGCUGGCUGGAGACUUGCUUCUAACCAGUAGAGUAAGACAAAGUGAUGGGGGUGUCACUUUCAUGAGUAGGUUAUAAAAAUGGUAACUUCUGUUACAAUCUCAUGAUGCCUCUUGGCAUGCAUGCCUUGGUGAAGAAGAUUCCUCCUGGCAAGGAGCUGAGGCCAGCCUGCCUGACAGCCAGCCACUGACUGAGCUCAGCCACCAACCCUGCCCUAGUUGGGCCUUCAGAUGAGACUGUAGAUCUUGGGCUGAGAUUUGACUAUAGCCUCCCAAGAUACUGUGAAGCAGAAAACCCAGCUAAGCAGUUUCCAGAUUCCUGAUUACACAAAUUGUGAGAUAAUACAUGUGUGUCAUUUUUAGCUACUAAAUUUUGGGGUCAUUUGUUACAUAGCCAUAGGUAACCAGUACAUAGACACAUUAUUAAAUUAAAUAGCUUCCAUGUUUUGAUCUUGAGAAAGUAUAAUUUUAAAACUACCUAGAAAACCAGGUUCAAAUCUGGAAUCUUUCGACUCCUUGGAAUUCUGCAUCAGAACAUGGUAUGGGAAGGAGAACUGGGCCUUGAUAGGAGGCCACCCUGCUCUGUCUCUUCUUACCUGGGCUCCAUCCUAUACACCCCAGGUCUUAUGUAUGCCCAAUGGUUAAAAUUCCAUAUUCCCUCAUAAGUAGCAACACCUGGGCCUAGCCAUGUUCAUGGUCCACCCUUGAGAAGUUGGACUUGGGGACAGGCCAGUAGAGGCUCAAGAAUUGGGUUUUAGCACCAUUUGGCCAAGGAAAUCCAGGAUCCAAUUUCCUGCAAGUGUGGUUUAGCAGGGGGCCAGGGUGGGCUCCAGGUGGCCCAUAGACUCCUGACCCUGUGAGGGCCACUGAAGGGACAGGGCCAGGUCUUCCAAAGCAAGCUUCCUCAUGCCUGGGACUGAAGGUAGUCCUCGGAGGGCCCCUUGUUCUAAUCUUCUCAGGCAGGGAUAAGGUAUCUCCAGGAAUAUACCAGAAAAAAGGGGGUUUCAAUAAUACUCAGUCCAGGGGCAGGGCUGGGGGCCAUAUCUGCUCCCUCCUCCCUGUCUUCCAUCUUCAGUGGGGCCUGAUCUGUGCUGAGCACUUUCUGGCAAAGCAUCUGAAGGACAUAGCCUGGUUUCCCAAUUAGUAAGGAAGACAUACCUCAGAGCAGAGCCAUUCCUUCUCCCCAAGCAGAUUCAUAUAAUUAGAAUUCAGUGAACACAUAUUACAGGCCAGGAGCUGGGUGUUAAGCAGGGAGAGAUUUAUUAGCAUAGGGGUUAUUACAGAGCUCACGGAUUGGCAUCACAACUGGCCUGGCUGGGAGCUGGGGCUGCCCUUGGAAGCCUGUGCACUGGGGUGAGUGAGCCAGCUACGGCCAGGGCCCACCACAUUCUGUCCUGCACAGAGGCGCUUCUUCCUCCCUUCCUUUUUAAAAAAUUUAUUCAUAUAAUAGUUGCAUAAUAGUUAUAACCUCUUUAUCUUUAUAAAUUACCCAGUCUCAGAUAUCUCUUCACAGCAGUAUGAAAUGGACUAAUACAAGUAUAUAUAGAUAUCACAUUUUCUUUAUCCAUUUAUCUGUUGAUGGACUCAAUAGCAAAAAGCCCAAAUUAUUUGACUAAAAAUAAGCAAAAUAUCAGAAUAAGCAUUUCUCAAAAGAAUACAUACAAAUGACCAACAGGUAUAUGAAAAAAUGCUCAAUGUCUAUCAUCAUGGAAAUCCACAGAGAAGCUGAGGAGAGUAAAAAUCACCUGGUGACCACUGGAGGGGUCCCAGAGACCAAAGCUCCUUAUCUGAAGAAUUUAGAAGCAAGCAAAGACCACCUGGUGACUCUCAGACAGGCCCUCCAGAGGCGAAACUUCCUAUCUGGAGAAAAUUAGAAGUAAUUAGACUUCCCUAGUAUCUAAAGUCGGCAUCUGGUUCCAGGCCUCUUUCAACUUUUAUAAGUAACUAAAAUGUCUAUACAUCUCUGGAAUGCCAUGCCAAAACUCAUUUUACAACCAACCCUAAGCUCCUGCCUUAAGGUCCUUAAACACCCCUAAGGAAAAACCCACUGCCGCAUGCUCAGUUGUCUUGCUGAGGUUCAUCGUUGCACCCCUUUGCAGCGUUCUUCCUUUCUAAUAAACUUUCUUUUUCAAACCU